rnacentral:rRNA from 1 species
UACGUAGGGUGCGAGCGUUAAUCGGAAUUACUGGGCGUAAAGCGUGCGCAGGCGGUUUGUUAAGCGAGAUGUGAAAGCCCCGGGCUCAACCUGGGAACCGCAUUUCGAACUGGCAAACUAGAGUCUUGUAGAGGGGGGUAGAAUUCCAGGUGUAGCGGUGAAAUGCGUAGAGAUCUGGAGGAAUACCGGUGGCGAAGGCGGCCCCCUGGACAAAGACUGACGCUCAGGCACGAAAGCGUGGGGAGCAAACAGG